GAGGAAUAUUGCGCAAUGGGCGAAAGCCUGACGCAGCCAGACCGCGUGCAGGAAGAAUGUCGUAAGACAGUAAACUGCUUUUGUAUGGGAGGAAACUUAGGGACGUGUCCUUAACUGACAGUACCAUACGAAUAAGCACCGGCUAACUCCGUGCCAGCAGCCGCGGUAAUACGGGGGGUGCAGGCGUUAUCCGGAUUUACUAGGUUUAAAGGGUCCGUAGGCGGUUUUUCAAGUCAGUGGUGAAAGCCUUGAGCUUAACUUAAGGAAUGCCAUUGAUACUGAUUGACUUGAGUAUGGUUGAUGUUGGCGGAAUGCAUCAAGUAGCGGUGAAAUGCUUAGAUAUGAUACAGAAUGCCGAUUGCGAAGGCAGCCGACAAAACCAGCGCUGACGCUGAGGGACGAAAGCGUGGGGAGCGAAC
rnacentral:rRNA from 1 species